rnacentral:rRNA from 1 species
UACGAAGGGUGCAAGCGUUAAUCGGAAUUACUGGGCGUAAAGCGCGCGUAGGUGGUUCGUUAAGUUGGAUGUGAAAGCCCCGGGCUCAACCUGGGAACUGCAUCCAAAACUGGCGAGCUAGAGUAUGGCAGAGGGUGGUGGAAUUUCCUGUGUAGCGGUGAAAUGCGUAGAUAUAGGAAGGAACACCAGUGGCGAAGGCGACCACCUGGGCUAAUACUGACACUGAGGCGCGAAAGCGUGGGGAGCAAACAGG